UACAUACGGUGGUGAGAAGUGAGUUAGACAGCGGGGGAAAAGAAGUGUAGCAAGAUACACCCACAACUAAGCGUCAAAUAAAGAAAAUCUCUCCCUGGGGAAGGUUAGCUUCCUCCAGGGAGUAGAAAAAAAGGAUAAGAUGGACGACCAUAACGGGAGGCCAAAAACAACGAACAGAGCGACAUCUGCACCAUGACUGGUGAAUAAAAGUGUCAAAGAAAUGGAUAUGGAAGUAAAAACCCUAGCACCUAAGGAGAGAAAAAGGAAAAGGCUGACUCCAGUGGAAAGUAGCCCAUUGAGGGCGGAUGAAGAAACAGGAAACGGAAAUGAAGGGGAGGAAACAAAGAAGAGAAGCGGUAUAGGAGAAGCGCACAUUGCAAGGAAAGCAACGCUAAGGAAUAGUAUCAAAGCAAAAGAGGAAAAAGUAAAAGAAAGUGAAAACACUGAGUUUAUUGGAAAAAAGAAAACAAGUCUAGUAGUCGAACACGGAGAGAAAGGAAAGUAGCGAGGAAAUAACAAGGAAAAAAGCAGGUAUAGUAACAGAAAACAGAAACAAAAAACACGUGGUAGGAGAGUGGAACGAGGUAGAGAGCAACUACCUAGAAUUUUUUGAAAUUUAUAUUAACUAUAAUAGAGCGUCCAAAUUUAAGAAAGUGAAUUGUAUUAGAAUUUUCAGGCAGUUGCAACCACUGAUCCACGAAGUCGAAGGAAUCAGAAUGAUUAGUAGGAAAGUUGCAGAGGUAAGGGUCAAAAGACCAGAAUUUGGAAAGGAGAUCUUCCAAAAAUUCAAAAACAUUCAGGGACAAGAUAUGGACUACGGGAUACCAAAAUUCUCACCAAAGGAGUUAGCUGAAUUAGGUUUCAGAGAGAACAAACGUUACGAGGAAGAAGGCGAAGAGGAAAUGGACAAGGCAAAGAAAGAAUAUGAUUAAUAUAGAAAAGUGGGAGAAUAGGACGUGCUAUGUAGGAAAAAAAGAAAUAGCGAUAGACAAUACAGUGGAGUGAUUAAAGAAGCCAAUCCGACAUUCCCCAGAAGCCGAAACAGGUUCGAGACACUAACUUCUGAAGGAGAGCCGUACUCAGAGUCGGAUUAUAAUUAUGAUCCAGAGAGGGAAAAAACAAAAAAGAACACAAAAAUUAAGAAACCUCAGUGCAACGUGACACAAAAAAGCUAGAGAGUUAAUGUAACAGACGAGGAACUAGAUAUGCUGUUACAAUGGAUCAAGGAAACGAAAAUGGAAGAUAUAGUAAUAAAUAAAAUAAACAGGAACAGGAGAACCUACUACCCGGAAAGAGUCAACAUCAGGGGUGAAGAAUACACUCAGAUUAGAAACAGGUACGCACAACCAAAUCGAUAUGAUCAAUUUAAGAACAACCAAGGAAGAAACAACCUCAAAGAUUCAGAGCUUCCAAAACAUCCACCUCAGGCGACAAAAACGCAACUUGAAAACAAGAAUGGAGGAAGGUACGAUGAUGACUUCAGCUUUGUAAAUAGGAAUAGGAUUAUAGAACCAAACCAAAAUAAGACAGUAAGAACAUAUAGCAGAAAAUUGUCUAGAAAUCGGACAGAUACGAGAAACUCACAAAUGGGAACGGACCUACAAGAAAGCAGAUUUACUGGCUUAAAUAAAUGAAGGAAGGAAUCAUAAUACCAGGUGAAAAUGAUUUACACAAAAAGGUAGGCUUGGUAAUCUCAGAGGAAGAGCGGGAAGGAGAAGAUAACGCAGCCAACGGGGAACUUGGUUGGAAAGAACCAAGAAUUCAGAACAAGAACGAAGAAGGACAAGACGAGGCGAAAACAGAAGACGGAAGACGGGAAUCUGUGACUGAAACAAUCGAAUUUGAAUUCAUAGAAGAAAAUAGCAAGGGAGUGGAACGAGAGAUAGAAAUUACGACUACGUUAAAAGUAAAAGGGUAAAAUGUGCAAUAAUGAACGAAAAAAUAGAAAAUAUUGAGGUACUAAUGGCCAUUAACAGUCAAGGGAACAGAAGACCGGCCUCUGGAGACGACAAAAUUGACUACGGGCUCAUCAGCGAGCUUCCGUUGUUCAUGAAGAAAAUGCUAUGCGAGAUUAUAAAGGAAAGCUGGAGGAAAUUAAAGAUCCCAGAGGACUGGAAAAUAGGGAGGAUACAUCUUAUAAAUAAACCAGGAAAGGCGGCCCUAAGGCCGAUAACGCUGACGUCGUGCGGAGGUAAGAUUAUGGAAAAAAUUAUUAACAUGAGACUUACUUUGUGGGCAGAAAACAACAAUAUAAUAGAUGACUCCCAGGCAGGUUUUAGAAAAAAGAGAUCAACAGUGGACAAUUUAAAUCAUCUGGUGACGGGUAUAAAAGCCAACUCCCGGAAAAAGGAAAUAUCCGCAACAGCAUUCGUCGAUGUAAAAGGAGCCUACGACAAUGUCAACCUGGACGCAUUGGUGGAAAAAUUAAGAGAACAAAAAUGCCCGGAAAGGAUAAGGCAAUGGAUAGGAACAUGGUUAAGGAACAGAAUGGUAAGAGUCAAAACUCAAAACGGUGUAGAGAUGUAUAUCCCAUGGAAAAUAGGGGUCCCGUAAGGCUCCAUAUUAAGCCCUACCCUUUUCAAUCUAUACAUGGCAGGUAUAAGCAAGAAAGUUAACGGUACCAAGAUCAUACAAUAUGCUAACGAUAUAGCAUUGCUAUCUAAGGGGAAAAAAAUAACUGGAACGCAAAAUAAUUUAGAAGAGGGAAUUGCUAAGGUGGUAACCUUCCUGGACAAAGUCCAUCUGAAAAUAUCAGAAGAGAAAACAAAAGUUAUAUUCUUCGGUAAACAACCAGAGGGCUGCACAUUGACAACAGACUGGAUUUCAAAGCGCAAUUUGAGGAAGUUAGUCUUAAGAUACAAAAAAGGCUCAACAUAAUGAGAUAUGUGUCGCGGUAACAAAGGAAUUAAGCAAGGAUAUGCACUAAUGUUGUUAAUAUGAGCGUAUAAUGUGAGCGUUAAUAUCUUCAAUAAUGGAAUAUGGAAUCACGAUCUAUCUUAACGAUAAAAGACAAGAACAAAUGCUGGAAAGAGUAAGGAAACAGGAAACGGCCGCUCUAAGGGCGGCAAUGGGAUACAUGAUGACAACUCCACUGAACGUGAUAUACACAGAGACAGGAUGGAUAGGAACUAAAAACAGAGCCAAAUUAUUAGCAAAUAGAUACUGGAUUAAACAAUGGGAGAAAGGAAGAGAAGGGGACAGAGAGUAAAUAUCGCCCCAACUUAUCGGAAGAAGCAUUCUACGAAGUAUGGGAAAAGAGGAACGAAAUAUUCACGAGAGACCCGAUAAAGGACACUACAAAACUACUCCUCACGGAGUUUAAUUCCAAGCGGUUGAAAACUUCCAUAUGUUUGAACCGUUUAAAAAUUUGUCCGCUAAGUUUUGAUCGUUAGUGUAGUCUGUUAGACAGUAGUGACGUGCUAGGAAACAGACUUUGAUUAGCAAAUAAUUGAGUCAUUUUAGGAUAUAAAAAGAUAGUACAAAGAAAGGAUCUACCGUAAAUGUAAGAUAGGUAUAGGACUAUUUCACGCGAGAAUUUUUAUGUAAAAAAAGAAGAGAAAAGAAUAUAAAUUGUAAGAUGUAAAGGUUGUAAGGAAAGAAAGUUAAUCUGCGUAUAACAAAUUGUUAAAAGAUUGCAAA